GACGAACCGUGCGAACGUUGUUCGGAAUCACUGGGCUUAAAGGGCGCGUAGGCGGACCGGCGAGUCAGGGGUGAAAGCCCGCGGCCCAACCGCGGAAGUGCCCCUGAUACCGCCGGCCUUGAGGGGGAUAGGGGCGUGCGGAACUUCGGGUGGAGCGGUGAAAUGCGUAGAUAUCCGAAGGAACACCGGUGGCGAAGGCGGCACGCUGGGUCCCUACUGACGCUGAGGCGCGAAAGCGUGGGGAGCAAACAGG
rnacentral:rRNA from 1 species